UUAUAUUUUCAUUUUUUCUGAUUUUAUUUUGUUUUGUAUGUUAUCGAUGUUCACAAUCUCUCUUUUGAAAGCUAGGGCUUCUGAUGCUACUAAGGUUUAACGAUAGCGAUUUUCAAUUUGGUCACUAAUCGAUCCCUUUUUCUUUCCCUUCGGCUUGGUCUUUUCCUUCUUUUUUGACCUACCCAUUUUCUCAAUCCAUAUUCGUUGUUCCCAUAAUUUAAUAUCCAUAUAUACGACGUAUGUUGAUGAGAAUAAGAAGUAGAGGAUGAAUCACAGUGGUAUUCAACCGCCAUAGAGAGCUAAAAAGAUUUUUUUUGCUAUCAGAAGGUGUAGGUCGAGAUCUCGUUGGUGUAUACAUCUCCAAUCUCCUGGUAAAACGCUACCUAAAGUACCACUCUCACCUCUACCCUCUUUCAUCUAGUUUUUGCAUGUUUUCAUAUGUUGCUUCACCGCGGUUAACAACUUCAAACCCAUGCUCAGCCUACGUUUCUUUUUCUAAAAAGGUAAAUUUUUUCCAUUUUCUCGAAUUUCUUCAUAAUCUCUAUAUUAUUUGGUUUGGAUUUUUGAUAAGAACAAGAUUUUGGUUUCGAUUUUUCAUAAGAACCGUAUGAUCUAUUUGGUUUUGUGCUUGGAUUUAACCAUCUUGCUUAUGUUUGGGUAUUAUUUGUAAGGAGAUAUGUGAGUGUUAAAGGUAUUGAAGAUUGAGGAAAAUACAUCAUUUUUAUGUCGUGAUAGAGGAGUAGAAAAAGCAAGUUAUCUUUGUGCAUAUUUGGGAUCCUUCAAAUAAGAAGGUGAAACUCUGGACUUACUAUUCUUUUUUGUUUUGUAUAUUUCAAGAUGUAUCAUUACUAGAACAUUUUAACAAAACCAAAACUGUAAAGACUGUAUAUUUUGAUUAAUAAGAUUUUGAUCUUGAAUCUGAUCCAACUCUUCUUCUUUUUCUUGAAUUUCUCAUUUCGUUUUUUCAACCAAAACAUAUAUGGCGAUAUCGGUACUAGAAAGCACCCAAUAAGACCAGGAAAUAUAGGACGAGAUUAGGCCAAGAGAAAUCAAGAUGAGGUGUAAACUGUAAGUGAUUACAAGACAAGUAUCCCAGGUGUUCAAUAAAAUGCCUAAAAUAAUGUUUGCUUAAGUGUAAGAUAAUUUGUUUUAGAUAAGGUAAAGAAGAGGAUAUAAAUCGAAAUAUCUGAGAUUCGAUCUAGCCUGAACAUGAAGAACGAUAUCCCUUUCUCUAUUUUUGAACCGGAUUCUUUGAAAUGUUCUCUUUCACUCUUUAUGGAAUACUAAUGAUUUUGAUAAUAAUUUUAAUUUUGUUGAUGUCAAUUA